rnacentral:lncRNA from 1 species
GCUAAGUUAUGCUGAUCAGAUUAAUUAUCUUUGUCACUAUUCAUUACUUUAUAUAUCCUUUAUGUGACACUUACCCCUGUAUGAAAGAGUUAGAUAAAUGUUCUCAAUUAUACAUGCAAUGAUAGAUACUCAAUCUCAUAUUCCAUUCUAUAAUCAACAUUGAUGAUUACUAAUCCCUUCCCAGUGGUAAAAAUAUAAAUAACGAUACCUGGAAUACUUCCCGGUUAAAAUGCUACAUCGGUAUUAAUCUGUGCGC